rnacentral:rRNA from 1 species
GACAGAGGGUGCAAACGUUGCUCGGAAUCACUGGGCGUAAAGGGCGUGUAGGCGGGAGAGAAAGCCGGGCGUGAAAUCCCUAGGCUCAACCUAGGAACUGCACUCGAAACUUCUUUUCUUGAGUGCCGGAGAGGAAAGCGGAAUACCUGGUGUAGAGGUGAAAUUCGUAGAUAUCAGGUGGAACACCAGUGGCGAAGGCGGCUUUCUGGACGGUAACUGACGCUGAGACGCGAAAGCGUGGUGAGCAAACAGG